GCCUUCUUAGCAUAGUAGGCAGCGUAUCAGUUUUAUAAUCUGAACAUCCUGAGUUCAAGCCUCAGAGAAGGCA